CUUGAAAAUGAAAGAAAUACCUGCUACUUAAAGGAGAUUUUAACUGAAAGCUGAAUUUAAUAUAUGAUAGGAUGACUUCAUGAACAUAUCCAAAGUCAAAAUGGCCAAGACAAUAUUAAUUGCAGCGUCAGUCAUAAUCAUGUGUGGGCACAUGAUAAUCACAUGAACAAGAAUGCAGAAGAUUGAUGUAAGCCAUAAAUAUUAAGGGCCAGAUCUUCAUCUGGACUUCACAGACUUCAGUGGAGCUAUAAAAUUCACAUCAGCUGAGCAGCUGCUCCUUAAUGUUGUAUAGGUUUUGCUCAACUACUGUAACUUCUACCUCUAAUAGUCAUCAGCAAC